rnacentral:lncRNA from 1 species
AAAUAAAUAAGCUAGUAAAUCUUAACCCAAUUUUAAAUUCAUUAAAAUGAACAAAACAAGUUUCAACGUCAAACCAUUGGUAGAUAAGCAAUUGUAUGCUGUCCGUUCAUCAUCCUCUUCCUCCAUCUCAUCUCCUUAAACCAUUUCCAUUAGUAACGAGCCUUACUUCCCCGGUCCCCUAAUCUUCAUCUCAAAUUUCUUUGCUAAUUAAAAGGCCAUUUGGUUCGAUGAUAUAUUCUAUUGGUUCUACAUUAGUCCGUUACCAGGUUUCAUGAAUCAACCAACAGAUUGAGAGGAUGAAAAUUAUUACUGCAUAUGUAUAUAUAUUUCCAUUAAUUAAUCAAGCAACAAAUUAAGGAUAAAAAUUAUACAUAGCAUAUAUGAAAUCAAAAACUGACCAGUCGUCCAAUCAAUGUGAUCCACGUAUGUAAUAACGAGUAGACUGAAAUCCAUGAUCUCCGAUCAGACCACAACAUGAUGAUCUCCUUCAUUUCUAUAUUACAGACAGACUGACUCCAGACGUUAAAUCGAUACUAGAAUUAGUUACUGGCUAUAGAUACAUUGAAAUUGGUUUAUCCGUUCAGGCAUAUCAGAGUAGAUGCAGAUAUGAAACUUGAGCAAUGGCAGAUAACGCCAGAUAGGGCCAUGCAACAAGAGCGAGAGUGGAUGAGCAGCCGCUGUCACCACCAGCCGCUGGUCCAGGUGCACCACCACCCGUGCUUCCCCCACCACUGCCUCCUCCUCCUCCCCUACCUCCUCCUCCUCCUCCUCCUUCGCCUCCUUCCCCACCUCCUCCUCCUCCUCCUUCGCCACCGCCUCCACCUCCUCCUCCUCCUUCGCCACCGCCUCCACCGCCACCUGGUGCCCCUACUGAUGAUAGGAGGAGGCAAAUGAGGGUAAGGACCAGUAUCAUUUUGACUAGCCGCUCCAUUUUUUCUUCAGAGAAAGAGGGAUUUGAUCAACCCCACUUGAUUCUUUGUUCUAUUUAUGGUACACCAGAGUGAAUUUACCUCAUUACUAAAAAAAAAUAAUAAUAAUAAUAAAAUUGCAC